rnacentral:rRNA from 1 species
AUGGGGAGACGACCACCGAAUCCUACUGUUGUUGCCGAACCAGAGGGCAGUACUAAUGGCACUACAAAUGGUGACGAUUCUGGGGAAGCUCCUGCACCACUGACAACAGCACAAAGGCUUGCUGCAUCGACAGCCUCUACUGAAGUUCCACCAGAUAGUUUUGGAAGAGAAGCUAAGCAUUUCACAGAGACUCGUGUUCUGAACAGAGAUGUGCGGAUUGUGGUGGAGGGGACAGACAGUUUCAGUAAUAUAAUUGAUCCAGGAGUCAGUGCUUGCAGAAGCAAGAUAUGUGUCAUCACCCCACGACACGGCAAAUCGAUUUCUUGGCUGACUAUUUCAGCCGCUGAUGACAUUGAAUCUCACAUAUCGAAAGUAUAG